GGUGCACGCCUGUAAUCCCAGCUACUCAGGAGGCUGAGGCAAGAGAAUCGCUUGAACCUGGGCAGUGGAGGUUGCAGUGAGCCAAGAUCGUGCCACUGCACUCCAGCCUGGGUGACAGAGUGAGACUCCAUCUCAAAAAAUAAAUAAAUAAAUAAAAUAAAAUAAAUAAAUAAAUUCAGGUAAACUCUCAUAACAUCUUUAAAGAGAAAAGUGAAGGUAAUGCAACCAUGAAAUAAAGUAGGAUAUUGUAAAACAGGAACAAUCAGAGAAUAUUUAAAAGAAUCCUUGGAA
rnacentral:lncRNA from 10 species